ensembl:lncRNA
ACCAGCUCCAAGUCCAAGCCUAUCAACCGCAUCAGCACGGUGGUGUGAGUGUCAGGAGACGCAACAACCCUCCCAGACACCAGGGGGCACCGCUCGUCAGACUGAGGUCGUCAGACCAGGACAACUACAGGUUUAAGAGGGGCCACGUCCAGGUCAUCCAAUAUGGCCGCCAGCGCUCUGGGAGAGGCAGGAAGAGGUGGGACUUGCUCAGGCUGUGUUACUUCCACCUCCGGUUUCCUCACAGAUUCACAUUCAGCUAGAGAGGAAGAGGAAGAUACUAACUCACUGAAGAGGAAGAUACUAACUCACUGAAGAGGAAGAUACUAACUCACUGAAGAGGUAGAGAGGAAGAGGAAGAUACUAACUCACUGAAGAGGUAGAGAGGAAGAGGAAGAUACUAACUCACUGAAGAGGAAGAGAGGAAGAGGAAGAUACUAACUCACUGAAGAGGAAGAGAGGAAGAGGAAGAUACUAACUCACUGAAGAGGAAGAUACUAACUCACUGAAGAGGAAGAGGAAGAUACUAACUCACUGAAGAGGAAGAUACUAACUCACUGAAGAGGAAGAGAGGAAGAGGAAGAUACUAACUCACUGAAGAGGAAGAUACUAACUCACUGAAGAGGAAGAGAGAAAGAGGAAGAUACUAACUCACUGAAAGCCUGACUCGCUCUCCAGACUCAGAGACUAGAGGAAGAGGAAGACACACAAAAAAUGACAUUCAGUGACUCAUGGAC